rnacentral:misc_RNA from 1 species
GACGGGUAUGCGUAUUUACUUGAUCGGUUUCGUGAAAAUUGUGAUAUAAUCAUUUAUCCGCAUGAAAUGUGUUAGGAUUCUCAUACGUGAAGAUGAAUUCCCGACAACUAAACUGUUUGCAGUUCAAAUUUGGUAAUGGGUGCCGUAAUUGGUUUUGUUCUUGUAAAGUUAUGGUUGUAAUGUAUUUGAUUUUGGCGGAAAUGAGAGAAUGGUUAGUUUCUUUACUUGGUAAUGGUCUUUGUCGAAUAAGUACUGACUUUGUAAUGCUG